rnacentral:rRNA from 1 species
CCUACGGGGGGCAGCAGUAGGGAAUCUUAGACAAUGGGGGAAACCCUGAUCUAGCCAUGCCGCGUGUGUGAUGAAGGCCUUAGGGUCGUAAAGCACUUUCGCCAGAGAUGAUAAUGACAGUAUCUGGUAAAGAAACCCCGGCUAACUCCGUGCCAGCAGCCGCGGUAAUACGGAGGGGGUUAGCGUUGUUCGGAAUUACUGGGCGUAAAGCGCACGUAGGCGGAUUAGUAAGUUAGAGGUGAAAUCCCAGGGCUCAACCCUGGAACUGCCUUUAAUACUGCUAGUCUUGAGUUCGAGAGAGGUAAGUGGAAUUCCAAGUGUAGAGGUGAAAUUCGUAGAUAUUUGGAGGAACACCAGUGGCGAAGGCGGCUUACUGGCUCGAUACUGACGCUGAGGUGCGAAAGUGUGGGGAGCAAACAGGAUUAGAUACCCCGGUAGUC